rnacentral:tRNA from 2 species
GGGGCUAUAGCUCAGCUGGGAGAGCGCCUGGUUCGCAAUCAGGAGGUCGCCGGUUCGAGCCCGGCUAGCUCCA